rnacentral:tRNA from 2 species
UAAUUAAAACAUUUUUACUUUAGUUAAUGAGCUUGAACAAGCAUAU